GUGGAGGUAGGCUAAAAAAAGCUUCAGGGUUCAUACCUCUGAGAUGAGUUACUUCAUU
rnacentral:tRNA from 1 species